rnacentral:hammerhead_ribozyme from 1 species
AUUCACAUGAUGAGUUCCAUAUGGGACGAAACACUCGUCCUGAAU